rnacentral:lncRNA from 1 species
GGUAAUACAGCAAUUUUCGUCCAAGCACAAACCGCAAACAUUUUCGCGCGUUUGUUUACGUUUGAAACGUGGCGUUUACCGUUGGAAACGGAAUGUUUCACUGCUCAUGUGACGUGUUAUAGUGAAAAGCCUAAUUCAGUUAUUUUUCAUGUUUUGAUGUGCUUUCGUGUACUUUUCAGUAUUUCCAAGCUCACGAUAUUGUAAGAGCGACCAAAUUUGUUUAUAUUCAUACUUUUUGUGACUAAAACGUAUUAUCAUGGGCUUGGAAAUAUUGAAACGUGCACGGAAGCACAUCAAAACAUGACAGUUGCGCCAAAAAUAGCUUAAGGCUUUUCAAUGUGACACGUCACAUGAGCGGUGAAACAUUUCAGUUUCCAACGGUAAACGCCCC